GAUGAACGCUGGCGGCGUGCCUAAUACAUGCAAGUCGAGCGAACAGACGAGGAGCUUGCUCCUCUGACGUUAGCGGCGGACGGGUGAGUAACACGUGGAUAACCUACCUAUAAGACUGGGAUAACUUCGGGAAACCUGAGCUAAUACCGGAUAAUAUAUUGAACCGCAUGGUUCAAUAGUGAAAGACGGUUUUGCUGUCACUUAUAGAUGUAUCCGCGCCGCAUUAGCUAGUUGGUAAGGUAACGGCUUACCAAGGCGACGAUGCGUAGCCGACCUGAGAGGGUGAUCGGCCACACUGGAACUGAGACACGGUCCAGACUCCUACGGGAGGCAGCAGUAGGGAAUAUUCCGCAAUGGGCGAAAGCCUGACGGAGCAACGCCGCGUGAGUGAUGAAGGUCUUCGGAUCGUAAAACUCUGUUAUUAGGGAAGAACAAAUGUGUAAGUAACUAUGCACGUCUUGACGGUACCUAAUCAGAAAGCCACGGCUAACUACGUG
rnacentral:rRNA from 1 species